GGCCAAGCAAGGAAGAGAGAGAAAGAGAGGAAGAGCAAAGGGAAAAACAAGAAAACCUAGGUGAAAAUUCAAAGAAAAAGUGAAGAAAUCAAGGAAACAAGCUAGGUAAGUUAGAAUUUCUUUAGUUCUCCUUGAUACCUAGCCUACCCAUGCUUUUGUUCUUGAUUUCCAUGGCUGAAUAUUGAGUUAUUAUGAUGAAUUCAAUUCUGAAAAAUGGGUUAGGAGAGAGAAAAUUGUUAGAUUAAUUUGAUUUUAAGCUAUGUUAGUGUUUUAAGUUAGUUUAGCAUAUUUAGAAACAAAACAAUAAGAAAAGAAUUUAUUUUCUCCCACAACCCUUAAUGGCCGAAUUUACCAUGUGUUGAGUGAGGAUGAAUUUGAUUUUCAUUCUAGGAGAAUUGGUUAAGAAAUGAUGAAUUAUGAGCCUAGAAAAAUAAUGGAAAUUUUCAGAGCAAAAAUACGAAUUUUUACCCACUAGGGGUAUUUUCGUAAUUUGCUAUCGAGACUGAUAAAUUGAAUCUCAUUCACAAUCAUUAAGGUAAUUUAGGUAUAAUUGGAGUGUAGAAAGUGAGAAGAAUUGAUUUGAAGUUAAAUUGGAGAUAAUAGGCCAAAUUAGGUCAGCACCGCAUUUAAAUGGUAGUAUGAUAAGUUGUACAUCAUAUCAUGCAUAUAUACCGAGCCUGAAUUGAUUUUAUAAUGGUCAAGCAUUGAUGUGAUGAAUUAUGUAUUGCACAUUGUGGAUAGGUGGUGAGCAAAGUACACUGGUAAAAGUACAAAAAUUAUGCUUGGAGACUGGGAUUAGGAGUACAUCGACUCCUAGAAUAGUGAGUGAACUUAUUAUCGUCUUAAUUAUCUAGAGUAGUUUUAUACAAUUGUGUGAUUUUAUGAAAAAUGGGUUUAAAUGGUAAAUUGCUAUGUUUUAAGAGAAAUUGCAAUUUUAUAAAAUGAUUUUAUAAAUUUUCUGAAAAAAUCGAAUACUGGUUUUGAAAAUAGAGUAAUUGGAGAUUGCCUGCUUGUGUUGCAAAUGUAUGGUUUUGAAUUGAAUGGCUUAUGACAAUAAAUGAGCAUGAAUGGCUAAACUAAUUUUGGUGUUAGAAUUAUUUAUACUGUGUAUUCAGCCUUGAGAGGCUAGGUUGCGAUAAAUUGUCAUGUCAUGCGAGAAUGAAUUUUAUUGAUUGGUGGAUUAUAUAUUAAUUAUUCACUGCAGAGGGGGCUCCGUGGACCAGCCUAUUAGAGAGGCACAGUAAACUCCAUUAUAUUCUUACCUCGAACGGAGAGGCGCGUAGGGUAUCUCCUAAGGUAAAGCUUAGGGUUCACUUCAUGCCAAACCACCACGUGAAGGGGCACUCAGCCAACGCUAAGGAACGACUGUAUUUUUCUCAAACUAAAAAUAUAUUUUAAGUGUAUACAAAAAUUUUAACAGCCUUGACGGACUCAGUUGGAUGCCCUGCGCAAGGUAUCACCGAGUAUGAGUUUUGGCACGAGCUAAAGUUUUAAGAAAUUCAUAAGCCAAGUUGUUACUCGAUUUUUAUGGAUUGAUUUUAUUUGGUUGAAAUGAGUUGAAAGGUAAUGAAAUUACAAUAUGAUGAUUUAUUUUAAUUGUCUCCAUUUACUCGACUUUAGAUAGUUUAGAUGGUAUUUGUUUACUCACUGAGAUUUUAUAAUCUCACCACCCUCAUUUCCUCACAUUUCAGGCUCGAGGAAUUCCAUAGUUAGCUGACUUUGACAAGGACUUUCAUUUGGACUCGAAUCGGUAAAAGCUGUAGGUUUCCAACUUCCGAUGCAUUUUGGUUAGAGGUGGGCCCACGUGUCACUGUAAAAGAAAUUUUAUGCUUUAGUUAUUUGCUUUAUAGUAUAUAUGAAUAUAAUUAACUUUUACGCUAUAAGAAUUAU
rnacentral:lncRNA from 1 species